rnacentral:tRNA from 1 species
UCCCUGGCGGCUCAGAUGGUAAAGCAUCUGCCUGCAAUGCGGGAGACCCAGGUUCAAUUCCUGGGUGGGGAA